AAAUGAUAUGAAUUUAGACAGCCAACACGUCGUAUUAGUGCUUGAGCAACAACUCUGUUAUUUUGUUGCGUAUUCCAUUAGGACACAUGCAUACUACAAUGAUGUUUGCAACGAUAAUUUUUCGUUGACUGUAUGUUUAGGUAACAAAUUUUGACGUUUGGCAACAACUUCCAAUUGUUUCCGAAUGGAUUUUUUUAUUUUUUUAUUAUCAUUAUUAUUUUUUUUUUGUAGCUAGCAAGUCCAAAAUUAGAUGUUACCUGAUCCAUAUGAUACCAAUCCUCAAGGAACAUGACAAAUAAGAAAUUUC
rnacentral:lncRNA from 1 species